rnacentral:tRNA from 1 species
GUCCCGCUAAGCUAAUGGAUAAACUGGGUGACUACGAAUCACCUCUUAGAGGUUCGAAUCCUCUGCGGGGCA